rnacentral:sRNA from 1 species
GUCAAAUUUGUAUUUUAAAUUGUGUAAUUUGAAAAAUUAAUUUCAAGUUUUAGAUUAUACAGUUAAGAAAAAGACACUCAAUUUACAUACUUUUACAAAUUAUUCAAUUCAUAAUACUUUUAGAUUAUACAGUAAGAAAAACUCUAAAAUUAGAAACUCAGUUAUGGAAGAGUAGCACCAGAAGAAGGAAGGCAAAAUGAAACUAUUGAAGCUUAAUACAUAUAUGAAUAAAGGGCAAAAUGAAGAAUUUUUAAAAUAUAAAUCAAGCUUAAUCACAGAUUAUGACAUAAAUAAUUAUGAUAACUAGGAUAUUUUUCGCUAUUCUCUCCAAACAAACCUAUUAGAUCAUAUUAUUUUGGGAAAUGAUACUUUAACAAUAGGUUUUGACAACAUUUUGACACGGGAUAGGUGUCAAAAUGUUAGUGGUCCACGUGGAUAAUUAAUUGAAAAUGUUAAAUGACGUGGAAAAGGAGUGCAGAAGGGGUUUCAAGUUUGCCGCUUUCAAUUUCACUUUUCAGAAUUUGAAAUUGGGAGAUUCGUAGAGAGAGAAGAGAAGCUUGAGAGAGAGAGUCGAACCCUAGAUAGAGAGGUCCGAUGGAGAGUCAUUGGAGUGCCGUCGUUCGGUAGGCUUACGGACAACGUUGAACACUGUCGUAUUUCUUCCACCCAGCCAGCCAGUUCCAAUUAAGGGUCGCCGCAGCUCCGGCGUUUGCAGACGAAACGAAGACGACAUCGUCUUCCCUCCGACCCAGCCAACUAAGGGCGCGUUUUGAGUCUCGAUUCCUCCCACCCGCUUCCUUCCCUGUGUCGGACCCUUGCGGUGGCCGCCGGAGCAUCGCCGGAGUGUCGUCAGACCCUUUCAAGGUAUGGUUUAGUGUGGGUUGAAGUUGUGUAGAAGAUUUAGUGGUUGAUGGCGUUUUUGGGUGGAAAGUAUGAAGUUUUUUUCUAAUUUUUUUGACCAUUUACUGGUUUAGUUCUUUUGACACAAUUAUUAUGUCAUUUAUAUACAAUUCCAUGUCCAAGGAACCAUUUUUUGUAAAACUCAUGGUGCAGAAACUGCAGUGGUAGCAAAGACAAAAUAAGUGAACUGUAGUGGUAGCAAAGACAAAAUAAGUGAGGACUUCAGGCAAAUGUUUUGCACAAUUAGGUCAACUACGUUGCAGGUACAACACUUGCACACUCCAAGCCAACCAAACUUUAUGAUUGUGGAGUUAUUGUUUUGGGAUUUAUGGAGUUGUGGGACGUCGCUGAGGAAUACCAAAGCAACACAAUGCCCACCUACAGAACUGUAAGGUAUUAAAGUUUUCAUUUUUGGGAGCUUUGAUAGAAGAUGUUGCAUUUUAUUGAUAUAUUGUGCAUUUAUCUCUUUGCAGGAGGAACUGCAACAAGUUAGGGAGAAAUAUGUUUGUGAUUGGAUCUUGGAUGUGGACAAUGUGUGGAGGGAUGAAGUGUUGCAAGAUUUAGACCUUAUGUAGAUGUUGUUGAAUAGGGAUUUUUGCAAUUUGAUUGAUGUUUUGUUUACAACCUUUUGAAUAUGUAUUGAUGAGGUCUGAAUGUACAUAUUUUUUGCUAGAAAUGUUCAAAGAAAUGUAUUGG